GUCCGGGCGAAAAGGGAUGAUGAUCGGUGCCGAUCCAAGUAUGGAAAAUACUGGAAAUCGUACUGCGAGAAGGUUCGGUACAGGGUCAUCCCCGGAAUUUACUGAGAAAAUGUUGCACAAGUGUUUGUUCUAUGUUGAGAAUGGCAUGUAUAUUCAGCCUUUCCAAAUUAAAUGAUGGCAGGCUGGUAUCAUGUUGUUGUUAUUGUUGUUUUUGUAAUGGUCAACUUUAUGGAUGUUGUAUUUCUCUCAUCUUCAAUGACCAAAAACUUUUCUUGUUUAGGAAAA